rnacentral:rRNA from 1 species
CCUACGGGCGGCAGCAGUAGGGAAUUUUCGUCAAUGGGCGCAAGCCUGAACGAGCAAUGCCGCGUGAACGAGGAAGGUCUUCGGAUCGGAAAGUUCUGUUGAAGGGGAAAAAGAGCGUAGAGAGGAAAUGCUUUCUGAUUGAUAUUACCCUUCGAGGAAGUCACGGCUCACUACGUGCCAGCAGCCGCGGUAAUACGGAGGUGGCGAGCGUUAUCCGGAAUGGUUGGGCGUAAAGGGUGCGUAGGCGGCCUGCUAAGUCUGGAGUGAAAGGUACCGGCUCAACCGGUACAGGCUCUGGAAACUGGCGGGCUAGAGAGCAGGAGAGGGCGGUGGAACUCCAUGUGUAGCGGUAAAAUGCGUAGAUAUAUGGAAGAACAUCAGUGGCGAAGGCGGCCGCCUGGCCUGUUAACUGACGCUGAGGCACGAAAGCGUGGGGAGCAAAUAGGAUUAGAUACCCUUGUAGUC